GGUCACAUGGUGUAAUGGUUAGCACUCUGGACUCUGAAUCCAACGACCCAGGUUCAAAUCUCGGUGGGACCU
rnacentral:tRNA from 1 species